rnacentral:tRNA from 1 species
GUCAUGGCUCAGUGGUAGAAUAUCUGCCUGGCAUGCAGAAAGUCCCAGGUUCAGUCUCAUGUAGCUCCA